rnacentral:rRNA from 1 species
ACACAUGCAAGUCGAGCGGAGACAGUGAGUAGCUUGCUAUGAACUGUUUUAGCGGCGGACGGGUGAGUAACGCGUGAGCAACCUUUCCCAGACAGGGGAAUAACACACCGAAAGGUGUACUAAUACCGCAUAAGACCACGGGAUCACAUGGUUCUGGGGUAAAAGAUUUAUCGGUUUGGGGUGGGCUCGCGUCCGAUUAGGUAGUUGGUGAGGUAACGGCCCACCAAGCCGACGAUCGGUAGCCGACCUGAGAGGGUGAUCGGCCACAUUGGGACUGAGACACGGCCCAAACUCCUACGGGAGGCAGCAGUGGGGAAUAUUGGGCAAUGGGGGGAACCCUGACCCAGCAACGCCGCGUGGAGGAAGAAGGUUUUCGGAUCGUAAACUCCUGUCCUUGGAGACGAGUAGAAGACGGUAUCCAAGGAGGAAGCCCCGGCUAACUACGUGCCAGCAGCCGCGGUAAUACGUAGGGGGCAAGCGUUGUCCGGAAUAAUUGGGCGUAAAGGGCGCGUAGGCGGCUCGGUAAGUCUGGAGUGAAAGUCCUGCUUUUAAGGUGGGAAUUGCUUUGGAUACUGUCGGGCUUGAGUGCAGGAGAGGUUAGUGGAAUUCCCAGUGUAGCGGUGAAAUGCGUAGAGAUUGGGAGGAACACCAGUGGCGAAGGCGACUAACUGGACUGUAACUGACGCUGAGGCGCGAAAGUGUGGGGAGCAAACAGGAUUAGAUACCCUGGUAGUCCACACUGUAAACGAUGAAUGCUAGGUGUAGGGGGUAUCGACCCCUUCUGUGCCGCA